rnacentral:rRNA from 1 species
AUUGAACGCUGGCGGCAUGCUUUACACAUGCAAGUCGAACGGCAGCGCGGGCUUCGGCCUGGCGGCGAGUGGCGAACGGGUGAGUAAUACAUCGGAACGUGCCCAGUAGUGGGGGAUAGCUCGGCGAAAGCCGGAUUAAUACCGCAUACGACCUGAGGGUGAAAGCGGGGGAUCUUCGGACCUCGCGCUAUUGGAGCGGCCGAUGGCAGAUUAGCUAGUUGGUGGGGUAAAGGCCUACCAAGGCGACGAUCUGUAGCUGGUCUGAGAGGACGACCAGCCACACUGGGACUGAGACACGGCCCAGACUCCUACGGGAGGCAGCAGUGGGGAAUUUUGGACAAUGGGCGAAAGCCUGAUCCAGCAAUGCCGCGUGUUUGAUGAAGGCCUUCGGGUUGUAAAGCACUUUUGGCGGGAACGAAAAGGACUGUGCCAAUACCACGGUUCGAUGACGGUACCCGCAGAAUAAGCACCGGCUAACUACGUG